AGUGGCAGGUCAGCAUACUGCCGUGAAUACGUUCCCCGGGCCCUUGUACACACCGCCCGUCACACCAUGAGAGUUGGGAAUACCCGAAGCCUGUGAGCUAACUUUUAGAGGCAGCAGUCGAAGGUAGAAUCAAUGAUUGGGGUGAAGUCGUAACAAGGUAUC
rnacentral:rRNA from 1 species